CUGUGUGCUGUGUGGACUCCCCAGGGCUCCUUUUUAAUGCUCCUCUGCGGUCUGCACAGGUGGUGGUGGAAACUCACUGAUUCUCAGACCCUCCUUCUUCAGCUUCUCAGAGCUCUGACUCAUCUCCCAUCAUCUGCUCUCAGAACAGACACAACCGGCGUUAAUAGACCCGAGAGAGCGCCGACUUCAUUAUGUGACAGGACAGACACCAAAAACAUGACCCUGCUCACCUGCAGAGCCUCAGGUAC